rnacentral:rRNA from 1 species
AGUGAACGCUGGCGGUAGGCCUAACACAUGCAAGUCGAACGGCAGCACAGUAAGAGCUUGCUCUUACGGGUGGCGAGUGGCGGACGGGUGAGGAAUACAUCGGAAUCUACUUUUUCGGGGGGGAUAACGUAGGGAAACUUACGCUCAUACCGCAUACGACCUACGGGUGAAAGCAGUGGAACUUCGGACCUUGCGCGAUUGAAUGAGCCGAUGUCGGACUAGCUAGUUGGCGGGGUAAAGGCCCACCAAGGCGACGAUCCGUAGCUGGUCUGAGAGGAUGAUCAGCCACACGAGAGCUGAAACGCGGUCCAGACGCCUACGGGAGGCACCAGUGGGGUAUAUGGGACAAUGGGGGCGAGCCUGACCCAGCCAGACCGCGUGGGUGAAGAAGGCCUUCGGGUUGUGAAGCCCUUUUGUUGGGAAAGAAAAGCAGCAGGUUAAUACGCCGCUGGUCUGACGGUAACCAGAGAAUAAGCACCGGCUAACUUCGUG